GCUUUUAGAUUGCUCCGUCAGUAGAGCAGGAGACCCUUAAUCUCAGGGUUGUGGGUUCAAGCCCCACGCUGGGCA